AAAUGAAAACCACGGACCGAAGUCUGGGCAAACGCACACAACACGACUCUCAAUGUGUAUAACAGUGUGUGCUAUAUGAGAAGAAGGCUUUAUAUAAUGUAAGAAGGCUUACAGUGGGCUGCCAAAGUAGACUUCUAUGACUUUAAAUGGAUAAACACUCAGCUCCCGCCGGAGAAAAGAUAGCUAUAUGUGAGCUAACAAGUGUUUAAAAGUGAGGAAACACUCAAAAGAUGUGUAUGCAGAGUAAAAUGGAUAGGGCUUCCUCACCUUUUUCCCUCUCUUCUCUUCUCAAAUGGC
rnacentral:lncRNA from 1 species